rnacentral:rRNA from 1 species
AUGCAGGAAGACAUGGCGGAUGUAAGUCAUGAGUCAAUGAUGGAGUACUAUCAUAUUGCCAAAAAGAUGUUUAAUAGUGAGGAUGAAGGUUAUACAUUCUAUAACAAAUAUGGUCUUGAGAAAGGUUUUAGUGUCCGGAGAAGCUAUGUCGAGUGGGAUGGAUCCAACUGCCAUAUAAUUUUAAGGAAAUUUGUGUGUAGUCGUGAAGGGGUUCGUGAAGAGAAGCACAUGAAGAGGAAGAUGGAAGAUAGAAAGAGGAGGCCACGGAGUAUAACUCGUGUAGGGUGUAAAGCUAAAUUGGUGAUUGCAAGACAGGAGGAAACAGGUCAGUGGUUUGUGAAGGAUUUCAUCGAUGAACACAACCAUCCUCUAGCCCCACGGGAUCUGUCGUGUCUUUUGCGUUCACACAGAAGAAUUAGCGAUGAGCAGAAAGCGAACAUUGCAGACAUGAAAAAAUCUAGGAUCAGAAAACACCAUAUUAUGGAUAUUAUGUGCAAGCAAUAUGGUGGAUAUGAUGAGGUUGGAUGCAUUAUGAGGGACAUUUACAAUUUCUGCCAUGCUAACAAGCAGGAAAUGAUUUCUUCCGGGGAUGCUCAAACGGUGAUCAAUCACAUGGUGGCGAGGCAAGAGCGAGAUUCAGAUUAUUUUUCAGGUACUUGGUUGAUGAAGCUGGCCAUCUGA